GGGGAAUUUUGGACAAUGGGGGCAACCCUGAUCCAGCCAUGCCGCGUGAGUGAAGAAGGCCUUCGGGUUGUAAAGCUCUUUCGGCCGGGAAGAAAUCGUACGGGUUAAUACCCUGUGCGGAUGACGGUACCGGCAUAAGAAGCACCGGCUAACUACGUGCCAGCAGCCGCGGUAAUACGUAGGGUGCGAGCGUUAAUCGGAAUUACUGGGCGUAAAGCGUGCGCAGGCGGUUUUGUAAGACAGGCGUGAAAUCCCCGGGCUCAACCUGGGAACUGCGCUUGUGACUGCAAGGCUAGAGUACGGCAGAGGGGGGUGGAAUUCCACGUGUAGCAGUGAAAUGCGUAGAGAUGUGGAGGAACACCAAUGGCGAAGGCAGCCCCCUGGGUCGAUACUGACGCUCAUGCACGAAAGCGUGGGUAGCAAAC
rnacentral:rRNA from 1 species